UGCAGCAGAGGGGGUUCCUCUCUCGCGGCGUGCAAAAGGUCGGUGACCCACCCGACCCGUCUUGAAACACGGACCAAGGAGUCUAACAUGUGUGCGAGUCAAUGGGCGCACUAAACCCAAAGGCGCAAUGAAAGUGAAAGGGGGUGCCUCGCUGUCCUCACGGGCAGCGGGGCCCUCCGGGGCCGAUCCCUGACCGAGUGAGAUGGUGCCGGGUGACCCAUACCAAAGUGGGGCCGCCAAGGCGGUGCGGCGUGGCGUGAGACCCUUUCCCACGUUGAUAUAAAAGUGCCGUCAGGCCCUGCGGGCACCCGGUGGCGCUUCCGGUCUGGACGGAGUAACAUCCUGUCCACCUGUACGCAGGGGGGCGCAGGCCCGGGACUUGCCACCCGACGCCGUCGCGCGAAGCUGUUGUUGGCCUCGCCGGCUCUGCUUGGGCUCUCGGUUGGUGUGCCGGCGCGUGUCUUUGGGCGGGUCGCGCGCGUGUCCUCGGUCCUCGGGCCGGGGGUGCGUGCUGUGGCUCGUCCGGCGCGUCGGUUUUAGCGCCUUCCGAUCCUGCUCUGUCCGGCGUGGCCUAGCGCGCGUGCUGUCGGCAAGUACCAUGAGCAGACAUGUUGGGACCCGAAAGAUGGUGAACUAUGCCUGGCCAGGAUGAA
rnacentral:rRNA from 1 species